GAUGAACGCUGGCUGCGUGCCUAAUACAUGCAAGUCGAGCGAACAGAUGAGGAGCUUGCUCCUCUGACGUUAGCGGCGGACGGGUGAGUAACACGUGGAUAACCUACCUAUAAGACUGGGAUAACUUCGGGAAACCGGAGCUAAUACCGGAUAAUAUAUUUAACCUCAUGGUUCAAUAGUGAAAGGCGGUUUUGCUGUCACUUAUAGAUGGAUCCGCGCCGCAUUAGCUAGUUGGUAAUGUAACGGCUUACCAAGGCAACGAUGCGUAGCCUACGUGAGAGGGGGAUCGGCCACACUGGAACUGAGACACGGUCCAGACUACUACGGUAGGCAGCAGAAGGGAAUCUUCCGGAAUGGGCGAAAGCCUGACGGAGAAACGCCGAGUGAGUGAUGAAGGUCUUCGGAUCGUAGAACUCUGUUAUUAGGGAAGAACAAAUGUGUAAGGAACUAGGCACGUCUUGAAGGUACCUAAUCAGAAAGCAACGGCUAACUACGUG
rnacentral:rRNA from 1 species